rnacentral:SRP_RNA from 11 species
GCCCUUUCCAAGUGGGGAGUUGAGCCUCGAGAUCCAAACGAAGCCUUGGGUCCUAAGGUUCUUAGAGACGGAGGGCAUCGCGUGAGGUUGGUUUCAUAGUGCACCAUAUCCUCUCGCUCCCGUCAGUGGAAGGUUAAC